GCUUCAGUUCUCUCUUGUAGAUCACAGUAAUUCCCAAGCCCGGACUUUUCUCACCACACUGCCUUGUCUUGCUGGGAUGUCAACUGUGUGCUUACAGUACGCCUGAAACAAGGCAGACAAUAACUUCUGAUUUUCAGAAUGAAAUGAACUCUGGCUGGACACUGCAUAAUACAUAUUCUUGCUUGGUUCUGAAGAAGAUCCAGACGUCUUUUUCUGUGGCUCUCUGAGGGCAGUGCCUUGUGGAACCCUGUCUUGGCUCAUGGCCAUUAGGAUAUUUCUCAGGGAAAGCCCUUGGACACAUAAGUCUGUUUUUUCUUUUCUUUGGAAACUAUGGUGCUCUCUGUGAAAACAAAGCGAUUUGGAUUCUGUUCAGGAAAAAUGUAACCUACAAACAAAUAGCCUUGGAAAAUCUGUGCCUCACCCUCCAGGCCUGGGUCAGGCACAGGGAGUGCCCCACCCUUCUGCUGCUUUCUAGCCGAGGCCCCCUCCCUUUUCCUCUUCUGUGUGUUGUCUCUGGCUGCCCAAUGAGCAAUGCCCGCCUUCCCUUCCCUGCUGCUCGGCCCCAGUCUUUGGAAGUGCCUUUUCUCUUCCUGGAAUGUUCUUCCUCUCCCUGUCUGCGAGUCUUUAAUCCAAUAUCUCCCCCUCUGUUCUGAGUCUCUCAGGUGAUUAGUUAUUCCUGUAUUAUGUGGUUCUGGAAAAUUCCAAAUUUAAGUAUUCUUUCCUUUCUUCAGAUAACAUAGCCCUGGUUUUAUUUUUUUUUUUAUUUAAUAAUAAUAAUGGCUGCCGAGUCUUCAGCUCUUGCAUGUGCUAGACAAUGAAGCACAUAUGAGUUACCCAUUUGCAAAGUGCUUAGGAGAGAAACUGGCACAUAGCAAGUGCUCAAUAAAUGUUAUUUAUUAUUA